GCGACCUUUCACCAUAUUGUCGUUAUACUGAAGUUAUCAUAGUGACAGGACUGAGUGGAUAAUCCGUGUAUCACAGUGUAAACAUGGCUGACACGAAGAGAGAAGAGGUGGCAUUCAGUAAUCAACGCAGUUUGUGCGACUAACAGGGGAGCGAUUGAAGUUCGCAAGAAGUGGAAUGAUUACAAGUGUUAUGUCAAGAAAAAGUCCAUAUCAUUGAAGAAGGAGCAGAAAUACACAGGGGUGGC